GGUGAGUAAUGUCUGGGAAACUGCCUGAUGGAGGGGGAUAACUACUGGAAACGGUAGCUAAUACCGCAUAACGUCGCAAGACCAAAGAGGGGGACCUUCGGGCCUCUUGCCAUCGGAUGUGCCCAGAUGGGAUUAGCUAGUAGGUGGGGUAAAGGCUCACCUAGGCGACGAUCCCUAGCUGGUCUGAGAGGAUGACCAGCCACACUGGAACUGAGACACGGUCCAGACUCCUACGGGAGGCAGCAGUGGGGAAUAUUGCACAAUGGGCGCAAGCCUGAUGCAGCCAUGCCGCGUGUAUGAAGAAGGCCUUCGGGUUGUAAAGUACUUUCAGCGGGGAGGAAGGGAGUAAAGUUAAUACCUUUGCUCAUUGACGUUACCCGCAGAAGAAGCACCGGCUAACUCCGUGCCAGCAGCCGCGGUAAUACGGAGGGUGCAAGCGUUAAUCGGAAUUACUGGGCGUAAAGCGCACGCAGGCGGUUUGUUAAGUCAGAUGUGAA
rnacentral:rRNA from 1 species